GGGCCGUUAGCUCAGUGGUUAGAGCAGGGGAUUCAUAAUCCCUUGGUCGCUGGUUCGAACCCAGCACGGCCUACCA
rnacentral:tRNA from 1 species